UUCCUUCUACUUGGGUUCCUCCGCCCAGCCUCUGCAGGGCCUGAGCGUCCAGAUAGGAAGGAAGGAAGUUCCCACUGACAGAUGGAAACACAAAAGGAAGUUACGUCAUUCCUCUCUAGACAACCCACUCCACUCACUGGACUUCUUUUGACAUGAGAUCCUCACAACAGACUGGUGACAUAGCUGGCAUUAUCACACCCAUUUUCCAAUGGUGAAGAUGAAGUUCAA